rnacentral:rRNA from 1 species
UACGUAGGUGGCAAGCGUUGUCCGGAUUUACUGGGCGUAAAGAGCGCGCAGGCGGCUGGUCAAGUCCGAUGUGAAAUCUCCCGGCUCAACUGGGAAACUGCAUCGGAAACUGAUCGGCUUGAAGGUGGGAGAGGGUAGUGGAAUUCCCGGUGUAGUGGUGAAAUGCGUAGAUAUCGGGAGGAACACCAGUGGCGAAGGCGGUUACCUGGAGCUUUGCUGACGCUGAUGCGCGAAAGCGUGGGGAGCGAUCCGG